rnacentral:lncRNA from 1 species
AUUAACCAAAGGUUCUUCCUCCACUACCAGUGAACCCACAAUUACUUUUCACAGCCCUUAUCUCCAACAAAAACCCAAGACUUUAUCUCUCUAUAAUUAAAGACCUCCAACGUCCUUCUCUCUCCAACAAAAAAAGGGCUCAAACGCUCAUCCUUGCAGCAGAGCCUACACUACUUUCAACUCUCUGAAACUAAAACUGGGUUCGUGUGGAGCAGGAGAGAGGGUAAAGGCGCUGCCUUUCCAGUGGACACGCCAAGCUUCUUCAAGAUUUUCCUUCAGCAGGCUCUUUGAGGUGGAAAGCUUGUAAGUUUUGGUCCUUUUUUUUCCCCUUGCCAGCUUCAAUUAAACUGGUAGAUGCCUGUAAUCUAAGAGAGAGAGAGAGAGAAAUGAAGUGGCUGUUUGGAGCAUGGGCCAAAAUUCUAAAAUGAUUUCCUUUUGAACAAGUAACUCCUUUCUCUAAUGGUUUUUUAUUUUUAGGGCCUCAUCACUGUCCAAAAAAAGAUCACUUAGUUUCUAGUUGAUUACUAAAGUUUAAUGUGAUUGAGUGUUUAACAUUUUGGUUAGCAAAAUGAGAUUUUAUUUUGUUUAUUAUAAUCUAAAUUGAGGUUUGUCAUUCAUUCUACAAGCAAAUGUAUUUGUACUGUCUAGCAUCUGUGGUGGAGCCAUGGGGUCUAGAUUUUGUCCAGCUUAAAACAUGCAUGUUUUUAUCUAGAUUGGAGAUUUCACUAAAAUUGGUAUAAAUAAAUUAGGCCUAAGUGUUUUUUUACAAAAUUAAAAGCAUAUGAACAAUCCUGGUAAAUUGGAUAAAUUGACCAUUGAUGAUUAAUGGAGUUAAUUGGUUGAUGUUUCUCAACUUCUAUUCUUUAGGCCAUGGACACCAAUUAGCAAUCAGAUGAAGCCCAUUCCAAUUUCUAUGCAUGUACUUAGGUUAUA